AACCGCCACUGCCCUCUCUAUCCUUCCCACUCCCGCCUCCCAUUUUCCUCUGUUUCAAACUUUUGUUUUUUUGUCUUUUAUUUCAUUGUCUCUUCUUCCUCUUCUAUUUCUAUGAAUCUGAUGAUAAAGACAACCACCACUGAGAUAAUAUAUCUUUCAAGUUCAACUUGGCUUGAGAAAUAAACAGGGAGGGACUAGCUAGCUUAAUUAGCUAAGCAUAGGGGAUGGCCUGGGCUGGCUUCAUCAAGAUCAAAAUGCUUCCCAUGACUAAUCUCAUGCUUGUUUCCAUUCUCUCCUCCAUAUUUGUUGUUACUCUGCUUAGCUUUCCCAGCCCAGCUGAAGCUGAUUAUCUAUACCAUGUCUGCCCAAACACUACCACUUUCACCCUGAACUCCACCUUCCAGUCCAACCUCAACCGCCUCCUCUCCACCCUCUCCUCCAACGCCACCCGCCCCUCCGGCUUCUACAACGCCACCACCUCCUCCCGAACCCCAAACGACCCCAUCUACGGCCUCUUCCUCUGCAGCGGCGAUGUAGGAUUUGCCGAACCCUAAACGACGCCGUCUACGGCCUCUUCCUCUGCCGCGGCGACGUCGCCUCCACGGACGCUUGCAAAUCCUGCGUCUCCACGGCAACCUCCAACGCCGUCCAGCGCUGCCCCACCGAGAAACAGGUCGUGAUCUGGUACGACGACUGCAUGCUACGCUACUCCAACGAGUCCUUCUUUUCCACCAUGGCCGAGACACCUCGCCUGUUCAUGUGGAACACCCAGAACGCCACCGAACAGACCCGCUUCAACCAGGUCCUGUCCACCCGUAUGAACGAGGUGGCCACCGAGGCUGCCAACGACACCGACAAGUUUGCGACGAGUCAGGGGAAUGUUAGUGGGUUGGUUUCGAUUUACAGCCUGGGGCAGUGCACGCAGGACCUGUCCUCAGCGGAUUGCAACCGGUGUCUCAGGGGUGCCAUAGCCCAAUUUCCGAAUUGUUGCAGUGGAAAGGAAGGGGCACGAGUGUUGUAUCCGAGUUGUACCGUUAGGUACGAAGUCUACCCUUUCUACCAACAGAACUCCACGUCAUCACCUCAGCCUUCACCGGGGGCUCUACCUCCUCCUCUGCCGCCUAAAGGAAAAAGCAAAAUCCCUACAAUUGUUGCCAUUGUUGUCCCAAUUGCGGUCUCUAUGCUACUUUUUGUUGUGGGCUGCUGUUUCAUUACUAGGAGAGCAAGAAAGAAGCGCAGUGCAGCAGCGGAGGCACCAAGCGGUGAGAAUGACAUUAGUACUAUAGAGUCUUUGCAAUUUGAUUUUAGUACCAUUGUAGCGGCCACGAACAAUUUCUCUGAUGAUAAUAAGUUAGGGGAAGGUGGAUUUGGUCAAGUUUACAAGGGUAUACUUUCAAAUGGUCAAGAAGUAGCUGUGAAAAGGCUUUCAAGGAACUCUGGCCAAGGUGCAGAGGAAUUUAAGAACGAGAUGGUAUUGGUAGCCAAGCUUCAACACAGAAAUUUGGUCAGGCUAUAUGGAUUUUGCUUGGAAGGAGAAGAAAAGAUACUUGUUUAUGAAUAUGUCUCCAACAAAAGCCUUGACUAUUUUCUAUUUGACCCUGAGAAACAAGGACAAUUGGAUUGGUCAAGACGUUACAAGAUUAUUGCAGGGAUUGCUCGAGGAAUAAUGUAUCUACACGAAGAUUCCCGACUUAGAAUUAUACAUCGUGAUCUCAAGGCCAGCAAUAUAUUGUUAGAUGGGGAGAUGCAUCCAAAAAUAUCUGAUUUUGGCAUGGCCAGGAUUUUUGGGGUUGAUCAAACUCAAGCAAACACAAGUAGAAUUGUUGGAACAUAUGGCUAUAUGUCUCCAGAGUAUGCAAUGCAUGGACAGUUUUCUGUCAAGUCCGAUCUAUAUAGUUUCGGUGUUUUACUGCUAGAAAUCAUAAGUGGCAAGAAGAAUAGUUAUUUCUUUCAAACUGACGCAGCUGAAGACCUCGUGAGCCAUGCUUGGAAACUAUGGAGAGAUGGGACGCCUUUGGAAUUGUUGGAUCCGAGUAUGAGAGAUUCUUAUUCCAGGAGUGAAGUUAUAAGGUGUGUGCAUAUCGGGUUACUUUGUGUUCAGGAAGAUCCAGCGGACAGACCUACAAUGAAAUCCGUAGUUCUCAUGCUUAAUAGCUAUUCUGUGACUCUGCCAUUACCUGAACAGCCAGCAUUUUUCCUUCGAAGUCGAACGGAGGGGAACAUGCCAAAGAUAACUUUGGAGUCUGAUCUAUCUAUCAGUAAGUCAACUCCAUCCGUUGAUGAAGGAUCUAUCACUGCAGUAUACCCUAGAUAGCGUGAAUGAACAAGAUGUUAUAUCUUGUAUUAUCUGUUUAUAUUUGCAAUCACAAAUAUGAAACUUGUACUCUUGGUUUCAUACGACUGUUGUUAGGAUUGAAAACAUCAAAUGGUAUUUCUGUCAUGUGAGUU